rnacentral:miRNA from 1 species
UUUAAUAAGGAUGAGAGGGAGGAGUAACAAAAGUGAAAACAAAAACUUGAAAAUGACAAUUUCAAAUAGAUUUCAAUUUUUAGUUUUUGUUUCCACUUUUGUUACUCCUCCCUCCCAUCAUCCCCUCUCAUC